CCUACGGGGGGCAGCAGUAAGGAAUAUUGGUCAAUGGACGAGAGUCUGACCCAGCCAAGUAGCGUGAAGGAUGACUGCCCUCUGGGUUGUAAGCUUCUUUUAUAUGGGAGUAAAAUGUUCCACGUGUGGGAUUUUGUAUGUACCAUAUGAAUAAGGAUCGGCUAACUCCGUGCCAGCAGCCGCGGUAAUACGGAGGAUCCGAGCGUUAUCCGGAUUUAUUGGGUGUAAAGGGAGCGUAGGUGGGUUGUUAAGUCAGUUGUGAAAGUUUGCGGCUCAACCGUAACAUUGCAGUUGAAACUGGCAGUCUUGAGUACAGUAGAGGUGGGCGGAAUUCGUGGUGUAGCGGUGAAAGGCGUAGAUAUCACGAAGAACUCCGAGUGCGAAGGCAGCUCACUGGACUGAAACUGACACUGAGGCUCGAAAGCGUGGGUAUCAAACAGGAUUAGAUACCCUAGUAGUC
rnacentral:rRNA from 1 species